rnacentral:lncRNA from 1 species
ACCACUUCAACACCACCACCUCCACUAACUACCACUGGUGAUCUCAAUCAGCGGAAGGACUCAACCGGAAAAAAGCGCAACGACUUCAAGCUCUUCUGCCUCUUCAACAUCCCCGCAACCCCAGAAGCAACCGCAGUUCGAAUCGUCAGAAACUUUAGUUAUUUCGGUUUGUACUACACACUCUUCAUAUUGACAAUACUCUCCAUAACUCUAGUGCCUCAGCGCAAGGAUUCCCUAAUUUUCUUGACGGUAAUGAUUGUCGUGGGAUGCUUGUACCUCGUGCUGUUAAGGGUAGUACAUGAAUCUCUACUGCUGCACAAGACCGUCGAGAGGCAGGUGGUGCUGGCCUUGUUGGCCAUCGGGACGAUGAUUGAGCUCAUACUCACGGAUGCAGUCGUACAUUUGUUGGUGACUUUGGCUAGUGUGAUACCAGUUAUUUUGGUUCAUGCAGUUUUUAGGGUUGGAGAUGAUGUUUUUGUUGAGGAGGCUGGUGGUUUUGGUGAAUUCGUUCCCCUCACAACAACCGAUGAACCUAAGUUGUCCGAUUCAGUUUGAUAAUUUUGUGGAUUUUAAUAGUAGUACUUGAGUUUGAUCAAGAAAGUUGUAGCUCUACAGUUGAUAAGAGCGUUUAUCUUUACGCCUACAGUUAAUAAGAGCGUUUAUCUUUACGCCCGAUGUCCUCCCUUCAAAUUCACGUCUGCCAAUAUCUCACUUGUAACAAAAGAUUGUGGUAAGAGAUAUUUAUUUAAGACAAUACCUAUUUUAUUCGUUAUAAUCCAAUGAUCAA